GAUAACAGCUCACAGGAUGAGAGUCCUCCUCAUAUUACUGGGAUUAAUUUUUCACUUUCUCGGUCACGGAGGGUGCGUGCUGAUCUCGCAGUUUCCCGGACGGCUGACGACCGAGCGAGGGUCGCUCGCCACUCUCACGUGUCAUCAGAACGACACAGACAAUAGCUAUAUGUACUGGUACCGAUACGACGCCGGGAGCGGUCUCCGCCUGAUGGUGGUGAGCGCGUCCGGGAGCCAGCCCACCUACGAGCCGGAGUUCCAGACGGGCUUUAAAGCGGAGCGGCCUGACAGGAAGACGUGUCUGCUGAAGAUAGAGACCGCGCAGCCGACAGACACGGCGCUGUACUACUGCGCUACUAGUGUGGGACACAGUGACACGCUCCCGUCACUCGCUGUGACAAGAACCCCUCUCCCGCGCUCGCUGCUCGCCUCCUGGACUGAGGUCGACGUAAUGUUUGAGGCGUAG